rnacentral:rRNA from 1 species
ACUGAAUCCAUAGGUUAAUGAGGCGAACCGGGGGAACUGAAACAUCUAAGUACCCCGAGGAAAAGAAAUCAACCGAGAUUCCCCCAGUAGCGGCGAGCGAACGGGGAGGAGCCCAGAGCCUGAAUCAGCAUGUGUGUUAGUGGAAGCGUCUGGAAAGGCGCGCGAUACAGGGUGACAGCCCCGUACACAAAAGCGCAUGUGCUGUGAGCUCGAUGAGUAGGGCGGGACACGUGGUAUCCUGUCUGAAUAUGGGGGGACCAUCCUCCAAGGCUAAAUACUCCUGACUGACCGAUAGUGAACCAGUACCGUGAGGGAAAGGCGAAAAGAACCCCGGCGAGGGGAGUGAAAAAGAACCUGAAACCGUGUACGUACAAGCAGUGGGAGCACCCUUCGGGGUGUGACUGCGUACCUUUUGUAUAAUGGGUCAGCGACUUAUAUUCUGUAGCAAGGUUAACCGUAUAGGGGAGCCGGAGGGAAACCGAGUCUUAAUUGGGCGUUAAGUUGCAGGGUAUAGACCCGAAACCCGGUGAUCUAGCCAUGGGCAGGUUGAAGGUUGGGUAACACUAACUGGAGGACCGAACCGACUAAUGUUGAAAAAUUAGCGGAUGACCUGUGGCUGGGGGUGAAAGGCCAAUCAAACCGGGAGAUAGCUGGUUCUCCCCGAAAGCUAUUUAGGUAGCGCCUCGUGAAUUCAUCUCCGGGGGUAGAGCACUGUUUCGGCUAGGGGGCCAUCCCGGCUUACCAACCCGAUGCAAACUGCGAAUACCGGAGAAUGUUAUCACGGGAGACACACGGCGGGUGCUAACGUCCGUCGUGAAGAGGGAAACAACCCAGACCGCCAGCUAAGGUCCCAAAGUCAUGGUUAAGUGGGAAACGAUGUGGGAAGGCCCAGACAGCCAGGAUGUUGGCUUAGAAGCAGCCAUCAUUUAAAGAAAGCGUAAUAGCUCACUGGUCGAGUCGGCCUGCGCGGAAGAUGUAACGGGGCUAAACCAUGCACCGAAGCUGCGGCAGCGAACGUAUCACCCAAGACAACUUUACGGAGUUGACGAUUGACGGAGCGAAGCGACGUCAAAGCGUUCAUUAAAGUCGAGUUGGCUUAGGGAUACGUUCGUUGGGUAGGGGAGCGUUCUGUAAGCCUGUGAAGGUGUGUCGUGAGGCAUGCUGGAGGUAUCAGAAGUGCGAAUGCUGACAUAAGUAACGAUAAAGCGGGUGAAAAGCCCGCUCGCCGGAAGACCAAGGGUUCCUGUCCAACGUUAAUCGGGGCAGGGUGAGUCGACCCCUAAGGCGAGGCCGAAAGGCGUAGUCGAUGGGAAACGGGUUAAUAUUCCCGUACUUGGUGUUACUGCGAAGGGGGGACGGAGAAGGCUAUGUUGGCCGGGCGACGGUUGUCCCGGUUUAAGCGUGUAGGUGUGUGUUCCAGGUAAAUCCGGUUCACUUUAACACUGAGGCGUGACGACGAGGCACUACGGUGCUGAAGCAACAAAUGCCCUGCUUCCAGGAAAAGCCUCUAAGCAUCAGGUAACAUCAAAUCGUACCCCAAACCGACACAGGUGGUCAGGUAGAGAAUACCAAGGCGCUUGAGAGAACUCGGGUGAAGGAACUAGGCAAAAUGGUGCCGUAACUUCGGGAGAAGGCACGCUGACACGUAGGUGAAGUGAUUUACUCAUGGAGCUGAAGUCAGUCGAAGAUACCAGCUGGCUGCAACUGUUUAUUAAAAACACAGCACUGUGCAAACACGAAAGUGGACGUAUACGGUGUGACGCCUGCCCGGUGCCGGAAGGUUAAUUGAUGGGGUCAGCGCAAGCGAAGCUCCUGAUCGAAGCCCCGGUAAACGGCGGCCGUAACUAUAACGGUCCUAAGGUAGCGAAAUUCCUUGUCGGGUAAGUUCCGACCUGCACGAAUGGCGUAAUGAUGGCCAGGCUGUCUCCACCCGAGACUCAGUGAAAUUGAACUCGCUGUGAAGAUGCAGUGUACCCGCGGCAAGACGGAAAGACCCCGUGAACCUUUACUAUAGCUUGACACUGAACAUUGAGCCUUGAUGUGUAGGAUAGGUGGGAGGCUUUGAAGUGUGGACGCCAGUCUGCAUGGAGCCGACCUUGAAAUACCACCCUUUAAUGUUUGAUGUUCUAACGUGGACCCGUAAUCCGGGUUGCGGACAGUGUCUGGUGGGUAGUUUGACUGGGGCGGUCUCCUCCUAAAGAGUAACGGAGGAGCACGAAGGUUGGCUAAUCCUGGUCGGACAUCAGGAGGUUAGUGCAAUGGCAUAAGCCAGCUUGACUGCGAGCGUGACGGCGCGAGCAGGUGCGAAAGCAGGUCAUAGUGAUCCGGUGGUUCUGAAUGGAAGGGCCAUCGCUCAACGGAUAAAAGGUACUCCGGGGAUAACAGGCUGAUACCGCCCAAGAGUUCAUAUCGACGGCGGUGUUUGGCACCUCGAUGUCGGCUCAUCACAUCCUGGGGCUGAAGUAGGUCCCAAGGGUAUGGCUGUUCGCCAUUUAAAGUGGUACGCGAGCUGGGUUUAGAACGUCGUGAGACAGUUCGGUCCCUAUCUGCCGUGGGCGCUGGAGAACUGAGGGGGGCUGCUCCUAGUACGAGAGGACCGGAGUGGACGCAUCACUGGUGUUCGGGUUGUCAUGCCAAUGGCACUGCCCGGUAGCUAAAUGCGGAAGAGAUAAGUGCUGAAAGCAUCUAAGCACGAAACUUGCCCCGAGAUGAGUUCUCCCUGAGACUUAGAGUCUCCUGAAGGAACGUUGAAGACGACGACGUUGAUAGGCCGGGUGUGUAAGCGCAGCGAUGCGUUGAGCUAACCGGUACUAAUGAACCGUGAGGCUUAACCUUACA